AUUGAACGCUGGCGGAAUGCUUUACACAUGCAAGUCGAACGGCAGCACGGGGGCAACCCUGGUGGCGAGUGGCGAACGGGUGAGUAAUACAUCGGAACGUGCCCGGUCGUGGGGGAUAACGUAGCGAAAGUUACGCUAAUACCGCAUACGAUCUGAGGAUGAAAGCGGGGGACCUUCGGGCCUCGCGCGAUCGGAGCGGCCGAUGUCAGAUUAGGUAGUUGGUGGGGUAAAGGCCUACCAAGCCGACGAUCUGUAGCUGGUCUGAGAGGACGACCAGCCACCAGGGGCAGAGAACACGGCCCAGCCUCCUAGGGGGGGCAGCAGUGGGGAAUUUUGGCAAAGGGGGGAAAGCCUGAUCCAGCCUUUCCGGGUGCAGGACGAAGGCCUUCGGGUUGUAAACUGCUUUUGUAUGGAACGAAAAGGCUCUGGCUAAUACCUGGGGCUCAUGACGGUACCGUAAAAAUAAGCACCGGCUAACUACGU
rnacentral:rRNA from 1 species